CACUCGACCAGGUUGCAGCUCCCUCCUUCCAGGUAAGUAUUGUGACCUCUCCCUAUUCCUCUACUGUUUUUCUACUAGGCAGGUAUCCAUCUCUGCCUGCACCGUGAUAGCUCCUGCUUUUACAAAGGCACUUGCGGCUCUCAGGCCUAGCUCUCUUGCACUUGUUCUGGGCAAGCUACAGGGACAAUGCAGCCAGCCAACAGG